AUGAAGUUUAAGAUACAUGAAUGCCAAGAAAAUACCAGGAAGAAGGGCACAGAAGUAGAAAUAUUAGUAACAAUCACAGUGGAUUCUGUAUGCACCUAUUAUGGGCCUUGCACUAUGCCAAUCCCCACAACAAUCCUGGGAUUAUGAGGCUGAUUACUGAACCUGCACCGUCGUCCCAUUGCUACUGCCUCGGGACCUCUUCCUACGGUCUUGGUGUGAUCUCUAUGGACUCCUCUUUUUUCCUUUAGGUCUUAUCAUUGCUACCACACUCAGCAGCCUGAUCGAUGUGAUCCCUACCCCAUCAUAUCUGAUAACGGAUUCUAUGAUCUUAACAAGCCCUCCUAAGAUUGUAUGUUUUUCCUUCAAGGGUGGUCAUCAGGAAUGAAGAUUAUUUUACCUUGUUUAUUGUCUUCUGAUUUAAUACAUGUGUCCAGAAAAAUGACAAUAAUUAUUAUUAUCACUGUGAGUUUCAAAUAAAGUCCUCUCAAACACA
rnacentral:lncRNA from 1 species